CUCAGCACAGGGACACUGGGGGCAAGGCUGGGCCCUGGCUGUUCCCAACCUCCCUCAGCACAGGGACACUUGAGGCGAGGCAAGGCCAGGCCCAGGAUGUUGUCACCUUCCCUCAGUGCAGGGACGCUUGGGGUUAAUUCCUAUCGUCUUGAAGGGAAGCCAACAAAAGCCUUGAGACCACAAGAGGGCACAUUGUCUUUUACAUUAAAUAUACUUGACUGCUCCCUGUGCCGGUUACAAAGUCUGAACAACCCGACUUCAUGCUGGCAUGCAAAUUUAGUACCUCAGAGAUGUUCCAGCUUCUUCUGUUCAAAACUGAAAUAAUUCCACAGUGCAUGCAACAUCUUUGUUACUUUUUCACACUUUGCUGCAUGAGAGCCAAUUGUUCACAAAGGUGUUGAUGAGUUAUGCAAGACACACUGUUGUCUGCCUCACAUAGUACAAGGCUACCGAGGUCAUUUGAUAUUAUCAAAGAGCUGGUGACUUGGGAUGGAUUUGUAAUAGCUCCAUGUUGCAUGGCAAAAUUCUGGAGUCAUCCUUCCCCUUGGAUGGAUCCUCCCCCUCAUUCUUCUAAGGACAUGAUGACACAAAGAAUUACUUUGCAAAGCUGAUGGUACACAGGGGACCAGAUUCCUAGAUGAAAACAAGCCGUGCUGAAAUCUGCGAGCUAUUCUCAAGCACAGAUUGCAUCCUGAAUGCAUGUGGGCAGGAACUGGAUGAAGAAGGAGGUAUUAUUUCUUACUGCAUCUACCAUUGAAAUAGAACUGGUCAACUGUUCAAUAACAAAGUAUAAUGUAAUUCAUCUGUUUUUCUCAUGACUUUUUUUUUCAGAAGUAAGUUAAGGCUUUACUCAAACCAGUAGUUCACCUAAACGCAUCUCUAAUACUUGCUGUAAAAGAAGAAUAGGACGAACACAGCUGUUGUGUCACUUAAGUUUCCUCUUUAUUAAUGAUUAAGUGACUAACUCUGAAUUCCUUAACUGUAGGAUGUGAUAGUUCCAUAAAGUCAUGAAACCUCUCCAGAAAUAUGUAUGCACAAACAGGAUGCAGUAAGUGAAGACCCUGCAGAAAGAAACAUAAAGAAUAUAGAAAAACCCCACCUUUGUCAUACUGAGAAGAAAGGCAAAACAAAAGCCAAAUGUAAGAAAAAACAUUUGAAAAAUCCCACCACCACAAAAAACACACUUGUGUUACACUUCGGAAGCAGAUUCCAAAGAGCCGACUCCACAGUGUGUAGGACAAGAUGAGGACAUUAGUAAAUAAUGCAUGUUCUCCAUCACAGAGAUUUUAAUUUAUCCUAUCAACAUGAGUGAGUUAAUAAUUAAAAAGGGCACUGUGAUCCUCAUGUGAGAGGUCCUAUAAAAUAAAAACUCAAGCAGUUUAAGAUGCAAUAGAUAGCUGUCUCUUAAAAAACAUGUUAAGGGAUUUACUGUAUUAGUAUUUUUAAUUAUAUUUUGAACAGUGAGAUUUUGAUGUGCGUUUAAGCAUCACAGUGUGGCAUUUGCAAUCCAAACAUGGCAGGAUUAAGUCCCAUCAAGCAGAGUAAAACUAGGGGAAGUAACUGAUUAUAAACACAAAUAAAACUAACACAGAUGUCUUUUAUGAAAUGCUAAGACUAAGCAGAAAGCACUACUUACAUUUCAGUUUCUCAUCCAAGCUUAUUUUAAUAGAUCUGUUACAUUUUAUUUUUUAACUAUAUAACUUUCACUACAGCCCUUCCCUUUUAAAAUUACUUGAGAUUUAAAUGCUUCAUUUUCUUCCACACAUCUAAAAUUAUUGCUGUUUCUCAGAACAAAAGACACUGGAGAUUUCAGGGCAGUGCACCAGUAUCUGUCCUGCACGUAGCUACAAAUAUGCAAAUCUGAGAGCUGAGUGAUCCUUUGAAUGAAAACCAAUAGCAGUUUUUCAUCUGGGUACCGCAUCAUCAUGCAGGAGUGAAAGAGUUCAGCAAAGGUUACUAAUUACCACUUAAAUGAGGUAGUCUUCCUUGGCUGUUUGGGCAGACCUGGGUGGGUGAGCAGGGAUGGAAGAGUCUGAGCAGCUCAUCGUGUGCCUUGGCUUUGGAGCCCUUAUCGAAACACGGAGUCGUGCUCCACCAAGUCUGUUUGACAGCUGUGCACUCAUACCAAGUUUCUUAAUCUGAGAGCCAUGGCUGAUUGGCAAAGCGGUCUGGAGAGCAUCCCCUCCCGCUCUGGGAAACGUGUUGAGAACUUGGGUUUAGUUGGAAACGUGUGUGGGAUCCCAGGUUGAGAAGCAGGGCACACCCAGCCACUGUCGGACAGAUCCCCUGGCGCUAACCAGAGCUGCCUCAGGGCACCCUGGCCCUCUCGGCAGGAUUGCAGUCCGCUGCCCUAAAAAAAAGGGGGUUAGACCAGGCUGGAAUUACCCUUGCAGGGACCUGCACAAGGAGGAAGAAGAGUGAGAAUGAGGGGAGGGAAAGAAUGACUCUGUGGGGGAAACUGAAAAUAUGUGCUUUCCUUUCCUCCUAGAGAUACAGGGCAGGGUGAGGUUGCGAUGUUUGCUGCUGAGGAGAGCUAUCUUGCAAGUACUGUUUGUCAUCCCACACACCCGGACAGGCCUUGGCAGCAGCACACCCUUAUCUCCAGCAUGUUGGCAAAUUCGGCUCUGCAGCACUUUCCUAUUUCACCGGAGCUGGGCCUGGGCUGCUCUCUGUGUUUGCUGCACUUUCCUUCUCCCUGUUCUAAUGGUCAGAUUAAUUUUGUAAUAAGUUUGAAUACAAUUUCAGCUUUAGUUGGAAAAUGUUCAUGCAUUGCUUAAGCCUUUAGCAGUAGAAAGGGGAGGAAUCUGUCUCUAGUCUCUGUCAAGAUCCACAGCAAGUGAAAUGCCUGCUGUCCCUUAACGCUAUUGUAAUGAUGGUGCUUCGUUAAUGUUCCCCAUGGGUUGGAACUGUGGAGCACAUGCUGCACAGCUUUUGCUUUCACCGGAGUCAGCUUGGGGUUCAGGUUUCACCCCCACAUCUGCUUUAUUUACACCUGUCUAUUGUUUUGUUAUUUACACAUCUCAGGUUGUAGAACACAGCAGCAGCCUCUUCACACGUGUAUGGGGAGGCAUUAAAUUCAUUUGUGCACGUUAUGCAGGGCUACCUGCUAGGAGCUUCUGAAGGGACAAGCCAUUCCACACGCCCAGGAGCAGCACGGAAAGCCGAGCAGCAGAAGACAAGGAAUUGAGUCUUUUUGAACUGGUGGUGGGUCUUCUAAAGCAUUGAUGCCUUGAAUUUGUCAGUGGCUUUGAAGUCGUCCAGGGGGAACACCUAAAAGCCGGCUGGCCGCCUUUGUAUCACGCCCACCUGCAAUUAAAAUAAUUAUAGGUGGUUUUUACACGA